rnacentral:rRNA from 1 species
CACAUGCAAGUCGAACGAAGUAGCAAUACUUAGUGGCAGACGGGUGAGUAACAUGUGGGUAUCUACCCUUUGGCCUGGAAUAACACGAGGAAACUUGUGCUAAUACCGGAUAAGUCUUUACGGAGAAAGCUUUAUGCACCAUUGGAUGAGCCCGCACUUGAUUAGUUUGUUGGUAGGGUAAUGGCCUACCAAGACUAUGAUCAAUAGCUGAUUUGAGAGGAUGAUCAGCCACAUUGGGACUGAGACACGGCCCAAACUCCUACGGGAGGCAGCAGUGGGGAAUCUUGCACAAUGGAGGAAACUCUGAUGCAGCGAUGCCGCGUGAGUGAAGAAGGCCUUUGGGUUGUAAAGCUCUUUCGUCGGGGAAGAAAAUGACUGUACCCGAAUAAGAAGGUCCGGCUAACUUCGUGCCAGCAGCCGCGGUAAUACGAAGGGACCUAGCGUAGUUCGGAAUUACUGGGCUUAAAGAGUUCGUAGGUGGUUGAAAAAGUUGGUGGUGAAAUCCCAGAGCUUAGCUCUGGAACUGCCAUCAAAACUUUUCAGCUAGAGUAUGAUAGAGGAAAGCAGAAUUUCUAGUGUAGAGGUGAAAUUCGUAGAUAUUAGAAAGAAUACCAAUUGCGAAGGCAGCUUUCUGGAUCAUUACUGACACU